AAUGAACGUUGGCGGCGUGGAUUAGGCAUGCAAGUCGUGCGAGAAUCUCCCUUCGGGGAGAGGACAGCGGCGAAAGGGAGAGUAACGCGUGGUUACAUACCCUCGGGACCGGGAUAGUAGCGGGAAACUGCUAGUAAUACCGGCUAAUAUCUUUGGAUCAAAGGUGUGAUUCCGCCCGAUGAUUGGACCGGGUUCUAUUAGCUUGUUGGCGGGGUAAUGGCCCACCCAGGCGACGAUGGAUACCGGGUGUGAGAGCAUGGCCCGGCUCACUGGGACUGAGACACUGCCCAGACACCUACGGGUGGCUGCAGUCGAGAAUCUUCGGCAAUGGGGGCAACCCUGACCGAGCGACGCCGCGUGCGGGAUGAAGGCCCUCGGGUUGUAAACCGCUGUCAGUUGGGAGGAAGUGCCAGGGGGUUCUCCCCUUGGUUUGACCGAUCUUCAGAGGAAGGACGGGCUAAGUUCGUGCCAGCCGCCGCGGUAAAAC
rnacentral:rRNA from 1 species